CGUCGCCGGAGCGGGUUAGUGACACUCUACGCAAUGGAAACAUCGCCUCGUGGUCCCUUGUUUUCGUACGAUUUCUCUCGCCCAAAAGCAGAACCUUGAUGGUUAUAAUAAGAAUAACAUAAAGAUGAGGACAGUUCAUCGCCCAGAAAAUAAGUGCAACAAAAAGGAGAACGAUGAAUGGAAAUUGGUACGCAACACUACUACUAGCCAUCGUACUGACGCAACUACCUGAUAAAGCCGAAAACACCGACCAGGACAAACGCGUCUCGGCGUUCGUCAACGGGGAUUUCAUAAUAGGCGCUUUGUUUCCCCUCCACGAAAGGCCUUCC